rnacentral:rRNA from 1 species
UACAGUGGCGCACGGGUGAGUAACACGUGGAUCAUCUACCUCUUGGUGGGGAAUACCCCUGGGAAACCGGGGAUAAUACCGCAUAAGCUGCUCCUUUUAAUAAGGAACCAGAAAAGCCGCAAGGCGCCGGAAGAGGAGUCCGCGGCCGAUUAGCUAGUUGGCGGGGUAACGGCCCACCAAGGCGAAGAUCGGUAGCCGGCCUGAGAGGGCACACGGCCACACUGGCACUGAAACACGGGCCAG